rnacentral:misc_RNA from 1 species
AACUUUCAACAAUGGAUCACUCGGUUCUCGUGUCGAUGAAGAGCGUAGCGAAUUGCGAAAAGUAAUGCGAUCUGCAAUCAUCGUGAAUCAUCAAAUUCUUGAACGCACCUUGCACCUUGUUCUGUGCAAACGGCACAAGGUUUAUCUGGAUGAGUAUUCCCUUCUUUAUGCCACUGGCAGUACUGCGGCAAUCGCGACGCGAUGCUGUGAAAUGCAGGGGCUCGCGCAUCUUUUGCUUGGCUUGCCAUUCUGAUGCCGCGCGCCGCCGCCCCCGGGCAACAUGCACUUGUGCACGCCAAGAAUCUCAUCUCAGAUAGGACUACCCGCUGAACUUAAGCAUAUCAAUAAGCGGAGGCU